UACGUAGGGUUCGAGCGUUUGUCCGGAAUUAUUGGGCGUAAAGGGCUCGUAGGCGGUUUGUCGCGUCGGGGAGUGAAAACCAGGUGCUUAACACCUGGCCUGCUUUCGAUACGGGCAGACUAGAGGCAUUCAGGGGGAGAACGGAAUUCCUGGUGUAGCGGUGAAAUGCGCAGAUAUCAGGAGGAACACCAAUGGCGAAGGCAGCGUCGGCUGGGACGGUACUGACGCUGAGACGCGAAAGCGUGGGGAGCAAACAGG
rnacentral:rRNA from 1 species